ensembl:lncRNA
UCCUUUUUGUUUUAUAAAGUCUGGUCUACACUAAAAAACUGACAUUUUUAAUGAAUACAACUUCAGGCUACAUUGACUUCAAUUAGGCUGUCAGCACCAUUAGGCUACAGACAGCACCUGUCCAGUGCUGACAGUGCCUAGUUUGAUCCCCAGAAGAUAAUUAAUAAUCCCCAUCAUUAAAAUACGGACAAGGAAAUGAACAGUUUUGCCUGCCCAUCUCUCAACAUAAGAAUAACUAAAACAACGCCUCUAGCCUAUUAUAGGCUUUCCCCCCUUCUUUUUUAAUUGAUAUCUACCUAAACACGAAGGCACUUGUUGUCUGUAGCAUAGCCUACGUGCCAAGUUGUUUCAAGGUUCAUUGCGGGCCAAUGGGAGUUAAGUGCGCUGCCUUGCGUCAUGCGUAAGGGGCGUGGUGGAGGCGCGCAUGCUGCUGUGUAGUAUCAGAAGGCAGUGUAGCGCUUCAACUCUACCGAGACUGUUCCCGGUUCAUUCGCGGCGCAGGCACACGAGCGGGCAGAAGACGGACACGGCAAAGUUGACAGAAAACACCACCACGACUUGGCUGAUUCUCGGAUUGCUCAUCGUUUCACGGUGUUACUGCUGAUCCAAGACAGGGCUAAGUGACCGAUGUGCUAGCAUUUGUCAGAGGCGAGUUCUAGAGAGAAUAUAAUAGUCAGCGUCCGAAUGCACGUCUGUGUACUCUGAAGUGAGCGGUGCAAAGUAAGUUGAGAGAACCAGGACUGGCUGAGAAACGGGGCUGGGCAAAGGUUUGGACACAGGGAGUCCGGUUCGUGGCGGAAAAUCCCAGCAGGUCAUGCGGCUUGCUCUGUUCCUUGGUCUGAGCGCCACGACACAUCACUAGACGGCGGUACUGAAGAAGAAGAAGCUGACUCCGAAAGGGCAAGAGCUUUCUGCCUGUGCUGUCCCGUCCGCAGCGGGUACUUGGGGAGGCUACAGUCGCCGAGAUGUCCCGCAGGAAGCAGAGCAAACCCCGGCAGAUAAAGCGGUCCAUGGGCGAUCUGGACAGUGGGGAGGACAACGCAGCGGACAGUGUCAGUCUGUCAGGCGAAGAGGCGGGGCUUCCGAUCCAGACGACUCCGCAGAGGACCGGGACAGCUCCAGCCCGCUGCCGCACACACCAGGCUACAGUGAGGAGGACCUGCACAUAACGGAAGAGAGUGGAGUUUGUACCAUUUUGACUCGCACCGACCUCUGUCAGGACACAGUGUGGGGCCUUAUCCCGGAACAGUCCAAUCGGAGAGCGGCAAGGAGGACCAGGAAGCACAGGUCUCUGGGGUGACUCUAAUAUCUGAAGAUGAAAACUGUUGGAUCACCAAACUCCCUUUAACUGCAGACGCCUCAUCUGCCAACUGCAUAGUCUACUGCCAAGGUAAGGGGUUUUUUAAAUAAGUAAAAAUUGAUUUUCUGUGAAAUUAGUAAACAAGUGUGUGAGAUCUUAUUACUACACUCGUUCUGUGCAGGAAAGGAGUUGUUCU